AAAACUUCAAAUCUGAAAAAAGUGGUUUUGAUUAUAUGUUGUGAAAUCCUUAGUACCUCUGCAUAAUUUGCAACAUGGUUUGCUGCAGAGUAAAAUGUGGGUCAAUUGUAUUAAAUGGAUCAAACAUUCAAAAUUACUGGUAUGGU